GCCCCAAACAGAUUCAGAACGGCCAGUGGGCUGCUUUCCUCCAUGUGGCCGGAUCAUCCGCUGCCGUUUUGUACCGCGGCCUCAACUACGAUAAAAGUGGUGGAGAAGAAUAUGUCUGGUUGCACGCUUGGUACAAUGUCCCCCAGCGACCACAGAAAAUUCGUUUACACUGAGAUUCGAAAACCUGGGCAUUACGAUGCUGCUGAUAUUUGGGACUGGGUCCACCCCUUGAUCAAAUGUGAUUCUUACAAGGACACUUCGUUUGGAUGCUACUCAGAUGCGUCCAUUACCCAAAACAACCCUUACAAAUAUUCUGGAACAAUGACCUUUCAGUUCAUCCCUUGAUUCACUUCCAUGCAAUAUUAUAUAUAUAUAUAUAAAAUAAACUAUAUAUAUUGACAAUCAUGCCGAUAUAUAUGGAUACCCCUAUUACGUCUGUCUGUCUGUGUAUCUUUAAGAUUAAGGCUGCAAUUGCAAAUGCACUGUGCAUGCAGCAUUAAUUUUUUAUAGGCUUGGCUAUGUACUCUUGUGCUAUAUCUUGCUGGGAUUAUUUCUCUGCAAGAAGUUAAUAUAUUAUCACAAUAAUGUUUUGUA